GACGAACGCUGGCGGCGUGCUUAACACAUGCAAGUCGAACGGAAAGGCCCUGCUUGCAGGGUACUCGAGUGGCGAACGGGUGAGUAACACGUGGGUGAUCUGCCCUGCACUUCGGGAUAAGCCUGGGAAACUGGGUCUAAUACCGGAUAGGAGCCAUUUUUAGUGUGAUGGUUGGAAAGUUUUUUCGGUGUAGGAUGAGCUCGCGGCCUAUCAGCUUGUUGGUGGGGUAAUGGCCUACCAAGGCGGCGACGGGUAGCCGGCCUGAGAGGGUGGACGGCCACAUUGGGACUGGGAUACGGCCCAGACUCCUACGGGAGGCAGCAGUGGGGAAGAUUGCACAAUGGGCGCAAGCCUGAUGCAGCGACGCCGCGUGGGGGAUGACGGCCUUCGGGUUGUAAACUCCUUUCGCUAGGGACGAAGCUUUUUGUGACGGUACCUAGAUAAGAAGCACCGGCUAACUACGUG
rnacentral:rRNA from 1 species